GUCAAUGAAGAGCCACUUUCCAGGCGGGAGCGGGGUGUUGAGGGGCGGUGGGAGGACCCGGCCGCUCCCCGGUGGCCCCGCCCCGCCCGGCCCCGCCUGGCCCCGCCCCUCUCCCCUCACAGCCCCGCGGCGGAAGAUGGCGGCGGGCGGCCCCCGGCCACCUGCCUGAGGCGGGACGGGUGCGCGGCGGCCCCGGCAGGCCAGGCGCUGGGCUGCGGCCCGGUCUGCCCGCCGAGGCGGGGGUGAGAAGCAGCAGGCACCGGUACCCGUUUGGCUGUCUGGCGUUACCCACCCCAGGAAACCCUCCGAAGCCAUAAAAUCGCCAGCAGAGAAAUACGGGUGAGGCUAAGAGCAGACCUCAGUUGUUUGUCUUCCCCAAACAUCUGCCAGAUGUGGUGGCAUUCUUAAAAUUCUCUCUGCUGUUAGUGUCUCCUUGGCCUCUGAAGGCUGGCCGCCUAAUUGGAAACAAACCCAUUCUCAGGCUGCCAAAGGAAGUGGGACGUACUAACCCGCACACCAUGCUUGCCUCAGCCUGCAACUGCUGUGCUGUAACCAGAGGUUUCCUACUUGGCCAUAGGGACGCUGGUAACCAUGGAUGACUUCACAAUGCAAAAUGGUUGUAUAUGUUAUUCGGUGGAAAGUCCAUCUAAGAGAAGCCAGCCUGACCUGUUACACACCUCACAAUUUUCAAGAUUUGAGAUCUUUGUUUUGCUUGAACAGGACACCUUGAGAGUAUCUCGGGAGAUCUAUAUUCAAACGAGUUCUCCAAAACACAUUUUCCAUGUCUUCUUUUAUCUGAGUGGAAUCUCUCUUACAAGUUAGUCAUGUAUACUGUAAGAGGUUAUAGACUGCAUAUAAACAUGUUUAAUGAAGCUGAAUACUGCAAGCAUAAGCAGCAAAAAUAUUUUGUUUACUUAACAUUUAUACACACUCAAGUAAAAGCUUGUUAAGUUUGGUUGGCUAAGCUUGUUUUCAAAAGGGACCUAGAAGACUGAAAAAAUUAAAUAAAUCAACAUAUGCAUAACAACACAAUCAUUCGUAUUAGCAUUCUAGUUAAGUCAAUGAUUAAUUCUCCUUUGAGGAAGAAGUGGUGGUAAAACAACUCUAAUAUCUAGUAGCAGUAUUACAAUCAACUCAAAAUUCCAGAUUAUAUCAACACAUGCAUAUGUAAUACAGGAGAAACUUUCAGAGCCUAAACUUUAAAGAGAAAUCUGAAUAAAUGUAUGCUUGUUUGAGUAUUUAAAUAUAGAUUCAAACUAGCUACUCUCCACAAUUGGCUUGUAGAUAUCUGCUCUGUCUGCAAAUAAAGAGGUCACUAGAGUUUUCUACUGACUUUAAAUGGCUGAACUGGAAGAGCAGGAUAGUGGCACAGCAGCCCCAGAAAGGACUAAUUCUGAAAUAAAUCAGCUCUUGUCAGAAGGGUUCAUAUGAACUCCAGUGGAAUGACAAGAGACACUACAAUGGUUUCUUUUUAAAAACACAACUAGCUGCUCUGUCUUGGACAAUCUGAACAUCAUGAAUGUUGUAACUGAGCUUUGAAUACAGGUUCGGUGGGGAUUUUUCCCCACUGAUAAAGAGUUCUCAAUCCUAUUUGUCAGUAAAGAUUGCAAUAACACAAAAGCAUUACCCAGCUGGGAGCCGUAAGACCAGCACUGGAGAGAAAACUGAAACCUUCUGCAGAAGGUCAGUCUUUUCACACUGACUCAGAAGACAGGAAACUGAGCCUUUCCUCUUGGAGAUGGUGAAAGAUCGUAUGGGAUGCCCAGUAUGGAUUAAGAGGGCAAUCAUAAAUGCCUGAGAAAAGCAACUUUCUACAGAUUUUAAGUAGCGGCUACAGCAGAGAGGGAAUUUCUUAUCUUAGCAGGCCAGGAGAGGGGGACUUUCAAUAUCCAAACCAAGAAGCUGAGAUGGCAGCCCUUGUUUCCUUUAACUCUGUCCUUAAAUAUGCAGUACUCCAAUGUUUCAAAAAGGCUGUUGGCUUACCUCCCGCAGGCUCAUUAACAGUUCUUACCCUCUGUCUGAUUUUCUUUGCAGGGAGAAAGAAGUUACUGAGAAGGUCCAUGGACAAUCUUGCGGCUACAGAGAUAAAUUGUUAAGAUAGGGGAAAAAAAAAACCCUCCUUGUGUCCCAAUAGUAACACCUGCAUCAGUUUUGUGAAGGUUAUUCUGGGGUGUUGGAUUUUGGGGUAUUAAUCUCAGUAAUAUUACUAAAGGCUUCUAUAGGUUUUAGAUUGUAAUGGAAACAGAAGCAGCUGGGUUCAUGGAUGAUCUAGUGGUUCCAGGUAGAAGUUGGUAGGCUAAGAUAUUCUCUGACUGGAUAAAGCCCUGAGAAACCUAGUCUGAUCUCAUAGCGGACCUUGCUUUGAGCAGGAGGUUGGACUAGAGAUCUUCCGAGGUCAUUCUAACCUGAAUUACCCUAUCAUCCUAUAAAAAUAGAGAAUCUGCUUUACUGAAACUAAUGCAGGCAUUAGGACAGAGAAGAUGGUUCCCGUCUAGAAAACAAAUGAUGCAUUUUGAAAAGAUUGUGUUAUGCCAGUUAUUUUACAAUCUGAAGUUACAUAUACUCUAUAGAGGAACUUCUGUUUUCCCAAUAUAAGCCUAUGGAAAGAGCAGUAUGAAUCUUUCAACGCUGAUGCAGUCCUACAAGAUUCAGCUGGAUUUAACCAGGACCACAUUUUAAUUGGGGAAGCACAGAGACUGUGAAUAGAAGAUUAAAAACAUUGCUAAGAAGUUUUUACAUUAACUUUGUUAAUAUAAAAAAGAUUCUUUAAAAAAUGGGCAUUUACAACCUCACAUUAUCUGUACAUCAAAGGAAAAAGUAUUUGUCUCGAUUCUAAGGUUUCAAAGCACUCUAUGGACAUCAAUGAAUUAAGCCUCACAGCAGUCCUGAGAGAAAAGUUUAAGGGUGAUCAAGCACUGGAACAGGUUGCUGAGAGAGGUUGUGUAGUCUCAUCAUUGGACACAAUCCUGGACAACCUGCUGUAGCUGACCCUGUUUGGGCAGGGGGUUAAACUGGGCGAUCUCCAGAGAUGCCUUCCGACCUCAGCUACUCUGUAAUUGUGCAAAAUACCCUUGAUUAGCAAGUAGUAGUGUGUUGCAAAAGAUCCACAUCCAAAGGAUUUCUAUUCUUCCUGGCUUGAAGCAAGACUCGAAACUUCAUCUUUUAUAGCCCAAACUCUUGUAUUCUGUAUGAAUAACUGUCUGCUGUCAGGCCAGAAAUAGUCAUAUACACUUCGUCCUUCUCCGUAGCUUAAUGGUUACAACAUUCCCUCAAUAUAUGGAUAAGACAAUUAUCUAGUACAUUUAUCUUUAGUUGUCUUGUAUGAACAAUGUCUCAUAUAAGUCAACAGCAAAAGUGCUACCAACUUUAAAAUGCGGACUGUCCCAGCAAAAAUAUAUUAAUUUUUUUUUUAACCUCCUGAGUUGCAUGUGCUUAUGCACUAACAGUUUAUCAUCAGCAGAACCUGAACUUUUCAGCUCCAAAGUACAAGUAAAAACUUGAACUAACAGUUGUAAUGACUGGUAACAAAUAUAAGUUCAAAACAAUCUCUCUGGUCCUGCACUAUAUAAGCAGGCAAAAGCAUACAUUUCAUGAAGGGGUCAUGCAUGUCAGAGAAGACAUUGAAACAUUUGAGAGGCCUGCAGAAUUCGAGCUCCCAGACUGGGCUUCAUCUCAAAGAUCUUCACACACACAUCAUUAACAGAUUAAGAGCUUAAACCUCCGGUUUCUCAGCACAGGCUUCUCUCAUUUGAAGGUUAUUUUAUCUUUUCUAAGUAGCAACAGCCCUUAUCUUCUCUAUGGCUUAGCCAUUAAGACAUGGCAUUUAUUUCAGUUACUAUUAAUGCAUCUGGAUGAACAGCAGAAUUUUACUUUCUAAUCCAAACUCUAUAAUGAUGUGCAGCAUCAAGAUACAUAUAGUCCUUUCCUUUUGAAAAGCAGAGGCAGUAGAUUUGCAAACUUCUAUAGAAGUUAAGUUGUCAGGAGUCUCUCAGUGUUCUUUACAUGCUGUACACACACCACUGCAUUUUACUUUUCAGUACCCAAAGUUUUUGGUCAAGAUGCUGCUUAUCCCAGACUAAGAGAGCUCAGAUACCCUCAUCAGCUCAGGAGGGCUCUUUAAUCCAGAGCUGAAAAACAUGAAAGGUAGAAGAUUUUUAGAUCUGAACUGUAGUUUGUUUGUUCUCAUUAUGUGGAAAUGCCUUUGGAGUAAGUGCUAAAUUCUUACUUUCUGACAAGCUGUUCCCUUACCUAUGUUUUUCACUUUCAAAAUCUCUCCCUAGAGCACUGAAGUAAGAGUAUUUAAACUAUGCAUCUAAACUGAAUAAUGUCUAUGUGAAAGAAGAAAUGUGUAAGGAAGCCUAAGGAUGGCUGAAUCUGUCUUUCUUCUGACAGAAGCUACUUGUAUCCAAGAAGUCAAUGUUUCCUCUGACAAAGUGCAACAUGUUUUUUCCUGUAGUAUUUGUUAUUAAAAAAGAGUUUAAACCAAAUUCCCAAAUCCAAACAUGCAGACACUGGGAAGAUCAGAUUUCCAGAUUAAUAACAGUAAAUAACACCUUAUCUUGUGUACAUUCAAAAUCGAGCUCUAACACCACAGUUCAUGCUUCUGUUCAUUUAUUACUAAGAUUGGCUUCACUGUUAGCCUAUACUUUUAGGGAGCUGAUGAACAUGGAUUGGCUUUGCUUGUAUUACUCACUCAGAGAGCUAAUGUUCUAUUAUAAUUUAAUUAUUUCCAUAACACUGACACUACCAAGUACUAAUCCAAAUACUGGUUCUAAAAUACAACUGACACUAAAAGUUCCUCUGUUGUCUUGGGUGCCCCAAGCUGGCCAAGCAAACUCAAGAAAGCAAGAAUAAGGCUAAGAUUAGGAUUCAGGUGGUUCUUAGUCCAAGCCGAGGCAUUCAGCGUCUCAGCGAGGCGUGCAGCUUGGCCGCUGGGUAACUGCGUGACCCUACAGUGGCACGUACAAAUAACAGCAAUGUUUGGUGCGCACCAAAGAGAGCGUUAAUAAGAUUUACAAAAAUCCCAUGAGGAAUAAAGGAAAUGUGCUUGUUCGCAAGACAGGUUAGCACAAUACUGAGUUGCCUUGUUCACUUCUGCUGUUGUCAAAUUAACUUGCUACGGUCUCUCCCCAUUUUGUAUACUGUAAAACUACCAACAGUUGCUAGUUAUCACAUACUGUCCUUUUUAAACACCACACAAAUUUUCAUUUUAGUUAACAGGAACUGUCUUUACUUUGUAUGCAAGUAUCUGCCCCCCAUGCUAAUUUAAUCAGUUCAAGCAGUUACAGAAAAUUAAAAUCCAUCCUAACAUUAGCCAAAAUUUACUGGAGUGGAAAACAAACCCAAUACAUUUAUUUCAUACUGGCAGUCCUAACCUGACAUAUUUUCCUAACCAAAAAUAUUUUCAGGAGAAGGAGAAGACAGGGGAAGAACAGUUGCAGAUGAACCACAGCUGCGAAGCCUGCAGUAACACCUUUGUAUAUAAAAGUUGUUACCACAACUGCUGAAUGAACCAGGCAAGAAGAAGCGUGAGCCAGCCAGGCUGCUGCGGAUGAGCCAAGAGAGGCAUCAGUUUGGUGGCAAUAUGCACCCCAGGUGAACUUCCUUUUUAUGAACUGUUAAAAUAAACCUGAAGGAGAGUAGAAACAAAACCUAAAGAGCCAAUAUCCAAGGUAACCACAACUGGAUGAUGUUUAUUUUGGCUAUUACAUUCAAUGUCUCCUACACUUCUUGGAGCAAGGAAUCUUUUUUUGAAGACUGCAAUGAAAUUGAUACCAAUAAAAGGUCCCUAUGUUUUUUGGUAAUUUCACCUGAAACCUAGCUGCUACUGCUUAUGCCUUGCAGGAGAAAUUUCUCUCUGGGAAUUGCGUGCAGAGACCACGUACUUGUAAAGAAAAGGAAGGUUCCAUACCAAAAAUACUGUGGAUCAAUCACGUAAAUAAAAACAUCGCUUUCCCACUUCCGAGAUUUUUUUUUUUUUUUUUUUUUUUUUUUUUUUCGGUCUGGCUAGGGGAGGGAGUUGAGCAAAGAAUGUUACGACUAUUGACCUGAGACAGUCUCCUGGAAAUAAUCUAACAGCAGGGAACAGCAAGUCCUUUUCAAAACCAAUGAAGCAAGAAAACACUGUUGACCAAGCUAUUGUGAGGGAUUUGACAGAGGGGAGAGGGGAAAAAAAGAUGAAGAAGGAAGAGAAAGGAUGAAACUAUGCCUUAGACUCAUACUUACUAUUUCCUUUAAAAGAAAACCACGUAUUUUCAAGGCCAUCACUUUUAUGCCACCUCUACCACAACUAACCCUUGUUCCAAGACAAGACGCUUGUUUUUAGCGGCAGUCAGACGGUAUGCUUAGGCUUAUGACUGCAGGAUUUUUGCUUACAGCAUGCAGUGCUACAUAGCCUUGGGUGUUCCUUUAUCUGUCUCUCCUUAUAAUGGCCUAUGGUAGCUUUGAAAAAACAAGACAGUAUUUCUGUAAAUUUAAUAUCAGUUUAUGUCCUUCUACGGGGGCUGUGUCUGUUCAGUAAAAGACCACUGUCUGAGACAUAGGAAUUCUGAAAUCCUCACAUGUGUAUUUAAAAAAAAGCUAGGAAAAAAACCAAAACAAAACGUAUUCCCAGUCCUGAUGAGAUCAUCAUCAGCCAGCAUUGCCAGGACCACUUUCACUGUGAAAUUAUGGCCUCAUAGGGACGCUGAGGGUGAGGAGGACCUUGCCGUGAUUAUUUUGUGUUACUUCAAGAUGCUACUACCAGUACCAGCUGGGUCAAGCACUACAGCAAAGUUGGCCCUAGGAACACAGAUAGGGCACAUAUUAACUAUUUGCUUUCUACAGAUGCUUUUUCUCUACAAAACCCCUUUUGUCUCAGAAUUACAAUGGACAAUAUUGAUAUAUUGUUGGAUCUGCACCUAAUGUACUCAAAAACAUAACAAAGCGCCUGUAUGCUCUCUCGAAUAAACAACAUUCACCAUCUUAAA